UAGUAACGGCGAGUGAAGCGGGAUGAGCUCAAAUUUAAAAUCUGGCUGGUUUACUAGUCCGAAUUGUAGUUUAAAGAAGCGUUUUCGGUGGCAGUCUCGGUAUAAAUCCUUUGGAAUAGGGUAUCAUAGAGGGUGAGAAUCCCGUCUUUGACUGAGAAUUUGCUACUAUGUGAUACGUUUUCAAAGAGUCGAGUUGUUUGGGAAUGCAGCUCAAAAUGGGUGGUAAAUUUCAUCUAAAGCUAAAUAUUGGCGAGAGACCGAUAGCGAACAAGUACCGUGAGGGAAAGAUGAAAAGAACUUUGAAAAGAGAGUUAAACAGUGCGUGAAAUUGUUGAAAGGGAAACGCUUGAAACCAGUCAUGUGGUUGGAAAAUCAGUGUUCAACUGGGGGGAAUGGGGGAGGUGUGGACCGCAAGGCUGCUCUUUUCUAUAUCUCUUUUGUUGGGCAUGCACUUUUUCUUCUGCAGGUCAACAUCAGUUUCUUUUGCUGGACAAAACUCUUGAGAAGGUAGCAGCUUAGGCUGUGUUAUAGCUCUGGAGCGAUACAGUGGAGGAGACUGAGGUUUUCGCAGCAUGUGCUCUCGGGCAAGGCCAAUUGGGUGCUAUGGGAUCGUUCGGGGUACAAUACAUGUAUUUUGCCUCGUGUCUUUUCUAUACUCGUUCAGUUGAGCUCUUCCAUGCUUAGGAUGUUGACUUAAUGGUUUUAAUCGACCCGUCUUGAAACACGGACCAAGGAGUCUAACAUAUAUGCAAGUGUUUGGGUGGCAAACCCAUGCGCGUAAUGAAAGUGAACGUAGGUGCCAUCCGCAAGGUGCAGCAUCGACCGAUCUUGAUAUUUUUGGAUAGAUUUGAGUAAGAGCAUAUAUGCUGGGACCCGAAAGAUGGUGAACUAUGCCUGAAUAGGGUGAAGCCAGAGGAAACUCUGGUGGAGGCUCGUAGCGAUUCUGACGUGCAAAUCGAUCGUCAAAUUUGGGUAUAGGGGCGAAAGACUAAUCGAA
rnacentral:rRNA from 1 species